rnacentral:rRNA from 1 species
ACAGCAGUCGCCACGGGAAUACGAAGGGGGCUAGCGUUGUUCGGAAUUACUGGGCGUAAAGGGCGCGUAGGCGGCCUGUUUAGUCAGAAGUGAAAGCCCCGGGCUCAACCUGGGAAUAGCUUUUGAUACUGGCAGGCUUGAGUUCCGGAGAGGAUGGUGGAAUUCCCAGUGUAGAGGUGAAAUUCGUAGAUAUUGGGAGGAACACCGGUGGCGAAGGCGGCCACCUGGACGGUAACUGACGCUGAGACGCGAAAGCGUGGGGAGCAAACAGGAUUAGAUACCCCUGUAGUCCCUGUCUCUUAUAA